CAACAUAUGCUCAGUGUCCUUGUACAGUCACUUAGCACACCGGUCCUCACCAUGGGUUGGAGCUGCAUUAUUUUCUUCCUGGUAUCAGUAAUUACAGGUGUCCAUUCCCAGGUCCAGCUGCAGCAGUCUGGUCCUGACCUGGGGAAACCUGGGGCCUCAGUGAAGCUAUCCUGCAAGGCUUCAGGCUACACUUUCACAGAUUACCAUAUUUCCUGGGUGAAACAGAAGCCUGGAGAAAGCUUGGAGUAUAUAGGAUAUGUUUGUGGUGGAAAUGGUGGUACUAGCUACAAUCAGAAAUUCCAGGGCAAGGCCACACUGACUGCAGAUAAAUCCUCCAGCACAGUCUACAUGGAGCUCAGCAGCCUAACAUCUGAGGAUUCUGCCAUCUAUUUCUGUGCAAGCCACACAGUGUUGCAACCACAUCCUGAGUGUGACAGAAACUGUGGAGGAGAAGGAAGCCAAUCCUGGGUGUUUACUCAGAAAUAUUGAAUCUGAGUGUCCCUUUGUCACUUUGCACAUUCCUACUAGUUUCUCCCUUGAGUAGAUACUGCUUUAGGAUGCUGCAGUGUACACCAUACCUUGAUAGUCUGUUCACCAGUGACUGCCUCUAUUGACAUGUUUCUUUAUUAAUAAAACAGUAAAUAAUGAAAA